AGCAGAGGAGGGGAGAAUAAAUGACUACAAACGAAAAGCAACGCAGUUACGUCUAAUUAAUUUCAAACCGAACCCAUCCUCGCAUGGAGAACUGUCUCACAAGAAAGAAAGCACAAAAUUAUUCUUCCCUUCUUUUUACCUACCGGAAUUUUAGCCAAGAACAAGAACAAAAAUCGAAAAUUGUUUACUUAUUCUCCUCCUGAUCGUCCCCAACCAGCCAAAAAACAACCGAAACCUAUAUAGCAUACGUAAAUAAGGGGCACACCAGUCUUCUACCUACUUCUACUACUACUCUCCUCGCAUAAUAAUAUGUAACAAUAGUCAAAAAGUGUACUAAAUUGUCCUCGAAAUGUCUCUUCUGAAAACGUCUCCCCCCGCACACACCUCGCCUCGAAUUGAUUUUAUUUUACUCCACCACUCAACCAACUCGAAACACACGUCCAGUCCAUCUCGAAAUUGGUAAAAUGAAACUUACUUAACGUACAUAGAGAUCAAAAAAGAAAUGAAAUGUAGUACUUGUCAUUAUUUGAAAUGUAAACUCUUAUCUUAUACAUAUAAUUUGCAUAAUCAUUACUAAAUUGUAACCUUAUCCUUACUUACUUAUCUUACGUAAUAGUACUUGUCAAAUUUUUGUUACGAGUAGUAAUCAAAAAGAAAUAGUGAGAAAAAAACUACAUAAAGUAAGAUGAAAAAAAACCACUCGCCAAUCUUAUCGGGCUCGAUCCUCCCCGAUAAUUAUGAUUAAACUUAUAAUUAUGCAUAUUUAAUUAUAACUACGACUCCAUUUUAUUAAGGAAUACGUUUUUCUUACCGUGAUCUGAUGAAACAAACUAGUUAUUGAAAUGUGUGAUGUUUUUUUAGGAUAAGGUUAACUUGAUAAGGACGUAUCAUUAAUUUUAAAUAAUUGCUUAUACAAUUCUUCUUAAGCUGGGUUUAUAUUUACUUCACUUCUUAUAUAGUAACUUGCGCCAAUGUUGUUGUACUUUAACUAUGGCGCAAGUUACCAAGUAUAAGCGCAGGUGAGAAUUGUGGUUAUUUUUUUAAAUUAGUUACUUACGCAGUAAUUUUUCUUGGAGGGUAUGCUUAUUUACCUUAUUUAAUUAAUAGACUUAUCUAAUUAAGUAAUAAUUUUACCUUGUAUGUCUUAUCAUCUGAAGGUAAAAAAUUGUUAUCAAGUAGUGUACCCAGUUUAUCGAGUAGGUGACGAUUCGUUAUCCAUCGUGGUAAUAAUAAUUGUUGAAUUGAUACGUGGUUACUUCCACCCGAAACACUGAUUCUGACCUAGGAAAUCGUUACCUACUUGGUUACAUACACUGCUCGGUAACAAUUUUAUUACCACGUUGUAUUUCUAUCCUUACUUACUUACAUAUUAUGUAACUUUUACUUUUACACCACAACUCUACGCAACUGUCUGCCUGCCAAACUCUCAGUCUGGCCAGGACUCGGCGUCGUAGUGUCGUCGUGGUGUUUGGGGAGUAAGACUUGUCGCAGUAUUUGUACAUUUCCGAACACGAGAGAGAGAUCACAUUAACUAAUGAAUAAGUAAGGAAAAAUUCGAGUAAAAAUAGGAACCAUUUUUAUACAAAAAUUCGCGAUAAUCGGCUUAAAAUUGCAUCAUUGUUGGCUUAUUAGCAAUUAAGUAAGUAAUUUUUAGCAAGUAAUUUACAUACAGAAGAGCAAAAUUAUAUAGGAUGAAAUGCCAACAGAGAUUUAUGUACAUCGUGAAAGUGAAAGUGAAAAGGGUUAAAGUAUUGAAAAAUUAAUGUGCAAAAAAUUCGCGAAUUUUUCAUACGUGCAAAAUUUCUAGGACUUUUUGGACAGUUAAUUCUGACAAGUGCAGACUUCUUUUUUGUAGAAAAAUUUGCCAAUUUUUGGCACAUCGAUGUCCGAUACGGUUUACGUAGUUUUUGCUUACAAGUGCAGACUCUUGGAGGUCUAUUUUGCAGAAAAAUGUGCCAAUUUUUGGCACAUUAAUUAUUUUCAAUGUGUAGUUUUUUGCUUUCCGUUUCUCCAUGAGUGAGCUUUUUGUGUUAAAUGUUACUGCUAAAAAUUACUAAAUAGUUAACUAAAUGUACUGACUACAUUCCAUGUUGCUGUUGUUCUUCUUAGCAAAGUAGUUAAUUAAUUAAUUAAUUAGUUAAUUAGUUGGCCAACAAUAUGUAAAUUAGAAGAUAUGUAUUCCAACGCGUUGUAAACUUUAGUACUUAACAAGAAAGAGGGAAAUUAUGUAUCUAAUUAAUUAAGUAAUUAAUUGAAGAGGAGAAAAUAUACAUACGUACUUUUUAUUCCUCCAAAGUCGCAUGGAGAGGGGGGAAGGGGGAGGAAAGAAGGAACAUGUAAUUUAAGUAUUGGACUGAUUGAAAUGUGUGCUUAUUAGUAGGCGGAGGAGUAAUUAAUUGUAAUUAAUUUAGGGGACGAUGACUAUGUAAAAUGGAGGUCUCGGAGCGUAU